UUUCCAAACCCUAUACAAAGUCGAUCUAUUCUCACAUCUCCAAGGUGACUCUCUUUCUCUUUUUCUCUCUCAACCCUCUCUAAACCCAAAUGUCAGUCUCCGAGGAUCGAAUCAAUACGAAGUUCUCUCUCUCGAUUCCUCUUCAGCAUCGUGAUUUCUCUUAGUGAUUCAUCUCAGAGUGAUUGCAAUUUUGAUUUUGAAGUUCUCUCUCUCUCUCUCGAUUGUGAGCACCACCUUCUACAAUCUUAGAAAAAUCGAUCGAAUCCUUCAAAACCUUCUUCAGCUUGGUGAUUCCAGAUGUGGUGUUUGUCUUUGUGGAUUUGAAACUCUUCAUCUUGUUCGAUUAGUGAGAUCAGAGCUUUAGGUCAUGCAGUUACCCUCAAGAAGCUCAUCAGGUAGGGGAUUCCACUGAUUUUAUGGCCUAAGGUCUGGUUUUCGCUCUCUGGGGCGGCUAAGAAGAAGUCCACAGUUCCAGUGAGCUAUUACAAUGACUUGACCAAGGCGGUUGAGGGUAAGGUCACACCAGCAACGCUGCAGAUCGAUCAUGUUCUACAUCAAGAUAAGACUCAUUUGCUGUACAGUCUAGUCUUCUCUCUGAGCUCAACGUCGAUGGUUCUAUGCUUAGUUCUGGAAAUCUGCCAUCAAGUUUCUCUUCUAUUGUUGAUGAAGUGUUUGAGCUUGAGAGAGGGUCAUCCGCACCUUCUUUUUCUAGUCAGAGUCUCUCUUCAUCAUUUAAUGCAUCUGCUGCAGCGCAUUAUGGCUCUGUUCCAAUGAAUUCAGAGUAUAAAAGUUGGAACCUCCUCACCUAAGCGGGAGGGAGGAACACAGAUAGCACAAAUCAACAAUGCUCCUAAAGUUUCUGGUGGAUCUCCCCAUUAUAAUAAUGGCUCUAUUUAUUCAACAAGCAAUUUGAAGGGCAUCAUGCAGUCUAGCUCUGUGAGUUCACCAUCUUCUGGUUUAGGAAGGAGCACAACUUUGAAGAGACUGUCUACUUCAAAAUCCAACCAGGAUUUGGCUUCUCUUAGAUCUCCACUUUUUGGAGUAUU